UAAGUUAAUAAGGGCGCACGGUGGAUGCCUUGGCACUAGGAGCCGACGAAGGACGUGACAAACGACGAUAUGCCUUGGGUAGCUGUAAGUAAGCGAUGAUCCAGGGAUUUCCGAAUGGGGGAACCCAACAGGUAAUACCUGUUACCUACAUCUGUUAAGGAUGUGAGGAGGAAGACGCAGUGAACUGAAACAUCUAAGUAGCUGCAGGAAGAGAAAGCAAAAGCGAUUGCCUUAGUAGCGGCGAGCGAAACGGCAGAAGGGCAAACCGAAGAGUUUACUCUUCGGGGUUGUAGGACUGCAAUGUGGACUCAAAGAUUAUAGAGGAAUGAUUUGGGAAGAUCAGCCAAAGAGAGUAAUAGCCUCGUAUUUAAAAUAGUCUUUGUACUUAGCAGUAUCCUGAGUACGGCGGGACACGUGAAAUCCCGUCGGAAUCUGGGAGGACCAUCUCCCAACCCUAAAUACUCCCUAGUGACCGAUAGUGAACCAGUACCGUGAGGGAAAGGUGAAAAGCACCCCGGGAGGGGAGUGAAAUAGAACCUGAAACCGUGUGCCUACAACAAGUUCGAGCCCGUUAAUGGGUGAGAGCGUGCCUUUUGUAGAAUGAACCGGCGAGUUACGUUAUGAUGCGAGGUUAAGUUGAAGAGACGGAGCCGUAGGGAAACCGAGUCUGAAUAGGGCGCCUUAGUAUCAUGACGUAGACUCGAAACCAUGUGACCUACCCAUGAGCAGGUUGAAGGUGCGGUAAGACGCACUGGAGGACCGAACCAGGGCACGUUGAAAAGUGCUUGGAUGACUUGUGGGUAGCGGAGAAAUUCCAAACGAACUUGGAGAUAGCUGGUUCUCUCCGAAAUAGCUUUAGGGCUAGCGUCGACAUUAGAGAUUCUUGGAGGUAGAGCACUGUUUGGGUGAGGGGUCCAUCCCGGAUUACCAAUCUCAGAUAAACUCCGAAUGCCAAUGAAUUAUGGUCGGCAGUCAGACUGCGAGUGCUAAGAUCCGUAGUCGAAAGGGAAACAGCCCAGACCACCAGCUAAGGUCCCAAAAUAAUUGUUAAGUGGAAAAGGAUGUGGGGUUGCACAGACAACUAGGAUGUUAGCUUAGAAGCAGCUAUUCAUUCAAAGAGUGCGUAAUAGCUCACUAGUCGAGUGACCCUGCGCCGAAAAUGUACCGGGGCUAAAACAAUUUACCGAAGCUGUGGAUACCUUUAUAGGUAUGGUAGGAGAGCGUUCUAUGUGUGAUGAAGGUAUACCGUGAGGAGUGCUGGAACGCAUAGAAGUGAGAAUGCCGGUAUGAGUAGCGAAAGACAGGUGAGAAUCCUGUCCACCGUAAGACUAAGGUUUCCAGGGGAAGGCUCGUCCGCCCUGGGUUAGUCGGGACCUAAGGAGAGACCGAAAGGUGUAUCCGAUGGACAACAGGUUGAUAUUCCUGUACUAGAGUAUGUAGUGAUGGAGGGACGCAGUAGGCUAACUAAAGCAGACGAUUGGAAGAGUCUGUCUAAGCAGUGAGGUGUGAAUUGAGUCAAAUGCUUAAUUCUAUAACAUUGAGCUGUGAUGGGGAGCGAAGUUUAGUAGCGAAGUUAGUGACGUCACACUGCCAAGAAAAGCUUCUAGCGUUUAAACAUACUCUACCCGUACCGCAAACCGACACAGGUAGUCGAGGCGAGUAGCCUCAGGUGAGCGAGAGAACUCUCGUUAAGGAACUCGGCAAAAUGACCCCGUAACUUCGGGAGAAGGGGUGCUGACUUUAAGUCAGCCGCAGUGAAUAGGCCCAAGCAACUGUUUAUCAAAAACACAGCUCUCUGCUAAAUCGUAAGAUGAUGUAUAGGGGUGACGCCUGCCCGGUGCUGGAAGGUUAAGAGGAGUGCUUAGCGUAAGCGAAGGUAUGAAUUGAAGCCCCAGUAAACGGCGGCCGUAACUAUAACGGUCCUAAGGUAGCGAAAUUCCUUGUCGGGUAAGUUCCGACCCGCACGAAAGGCGUAAUGAUUUGGGCACUGUCUCAACGAGAGACUCGGUGAAAUUUUAGUACCUGUGAAGAUGCAGGUUACCCGCGACAGGACGGAAAGACCCCAUGGAGCUUUACUGCAGUUUGAUAUUGAGUGUCUGUACCACAUGUACAGGAUAGGUAGGAGUCUAAGAGAUCGGGACGCCAGUUUCGAAGGAGACGCUGUUGGGAUACUACCCUUGUGUUAUGGCCACUCUAACCCAGAUAGGUGAUCCCUAUCGGAGACAGUGUCUGACGGGCAGUUUGACUGGGGCGGUCGCCUCCUAAAAGGUAACGGAGGCGCCCAAAGGUUCCCUCAGAAUGGUUGGAAAUCAUUCGCAGAGUGUAAAGGUAUAAGGGAGCUUGACUGCGAGAGCUACAACUCGAGCAGGGACGAAAGUCGGGCUUAGUGAUCCGGUGGUUCCGUAUGGAAGGGCCAUCGCUCAACGGAUAAAAGCUACCCUGGGGAUAACAGGCUUAUCUCCCCCAAGAGUUCACAUCGACGGGGAGGUUUGGCACCUCGAUGUCGGCUCGUCGCAUCCUGGGGCUGUAGUCGGUCCCAAGGGUUGGGCUGUUCGCCCAUUAAAGCGGCACGCGAGCUGGGUUCAGAACGUCGUGAGACAGUUCGGUCCCUAUCCGUCGCGGGCGUAGGAAAUUUGAGAGGAUCUGCUCCUAGUACGAGAGGACCAGAGUGGACUUACCGCUGGUGUACCAGUUGUCUUGCCAAAGGCAUCGCUGGGUAGCUAUGUAGGGAAGGGAUAAACGCUGAAAGCAUCUAAGUGUGAAACCCACCUCAAGAUGAGAUUUCCCAUGAUUAUAUAUCAGUAAGAGCCCUGAGAGAUGAUCAGGUAGAUAGGUUAGAAGUGGAAGUGUGGCGACACAUGUAGCGGACUAAUACUAAUAGCUCGAGGACUUAUCCG
rnacentral:rRNA from 1 species